rnacentral:lncRNA from 1 species
UAGCAAAUCAACUCAACCAGGAGAUAUAAAUACCAAAUGACAAAGGAUAAACAGUAUCCUAAUCCAUGCUGUCUUUAUUUCAUUUCUCCAUAGACAUCCUCAUCUGGGAACCUCUGACACCAUGAACAGAUUCCCAGCUAAGGAAAUGAAGACAGCCAUGUAGCUCCGUGAAUCCUGGAUAUGCCUCAAGGCCAACUUUAAAGAAACAACAUGAAGCCAGGCAUGGUGGCACACACGAUAAUCCCAGCUCUCACAGGCUAAGGCAGGAGGAUCUCUGCAAAUUUGAGGCCAGCCCUGGCUACACUAGAGAAGCUCAGCUGGUCCCAGCACCCGGAAGGAAGCUCCCCGCCUCCAUCCCAGGCUCCCAGGGCAGAGAAGCUCAGCCAGUCCCAGCACCUAUAAGGAAGCUCCCCUGCUGCCAUCCAAGGCUCCUAGGGCAGAGAAGCUCAGCUGGUCCCAGCACCUGGAAGAAAGCUCCCCCACCACCAUCCCAAGCUCCUAGGGCAGAGAAGCUGAGCCAGUCCCAGAACCCAGAAGGAAGCUCCCCUGCUGCCAUCCCAUGCUCCUAGGACAGAAAAGGUGAGCUGCGUGGGUGCCAGAAGCACCCCCCCCCCAGAAAUGAGAAAACACAUAAACAAGCCUCAAAAACAGAGUUCCAGAUCACCUACAGCAAGCCCAAAGGGAAAUGAG